rnacentral:rRNA from 1 species
CCUACGGGGGGCAGCAGUCGAGAAUCAUUCACAAUGGGGGAAACCCUGAUGGUGCGACGCCGCGUGGGGGAAUGAAGGUCUUCGGAUUGUAAACCCCUGUCAUGUGGGAGCAAAUUAAAAAGAUAGUACCACAAGAGGAAGAGACGGCUAACUCUGUGCCAGCAGCCGCGGUAAUACAGAGGUCUCAAGCGUUGUUCGGAAGCACUGGGCGUAAAGCGUGCGGAGGCUGUUUCGUAAGUCGUGUGUGAACGGCGCGGGCGCAACCCGCGGACGGCACAUGAUUCUGCGAGACUAGAGUAAUGGAGGGGGAACCGGAAUUCGCGGUGUAGCAGUGAAAUGCGUAGAUAUCGAGAGGAACACUCGUGGCGAAGGCGGGUUCCUGGACAUUAACUGACGCUGAGGCACGAAGGCCAGGGGAGCGAAAGGGAUUAGAUACCCUUGUAGUC